GACGUAGGGCGCGAGCGUUGUCCGGAUUUAUUGGGCGUAAAGAGCUCGUAGGCGGCUCGUUGCGUCGGCUGUGAAAAACCCGCAGCUCAACUGUGGGCUUGCAGCUGAUACGGGCAGGCUCGAGUUCGGUAGGGGAGACUGGAAUUCCUGGUGUAGCGGUGAAAUGCGCAGAUAUCAGGAGGAACACCGGUGGCGAAGGCGGGUCUCUGGGCCGAUACUGACGCUGAGGAGCGAAAGCGUGGGGAGCGAACAGG
rnacentral:rRNA from 1 species